rnacentral:lncRNA from 1 species
GAGGGCGGGAGGAAGGAGUGGGAAGAGGGGCGGGGACAGCGGGGCCGAGGGAGGGGAGAAGGCAGUUGAAGCACUGGUGUCGGGGAGCUGCCGUCAAGCCAGAGCCGCGGAGAAGGAGUUCGCGAAAGCGGCAGUUGGCACCUCUUCCCUCCGCGCUCCCGGCCCCAGCUGAGCGGCACCGCGGCUAGUCUGAGGCGCUCUCCGCGUACUUCCCCAGCCGCGCCGCGAGAUGGUCCUGCGCCCCCGAAGCCCCGCGCCGCCGCCGCCCUCGCGCUGAGGAGGAGUUGAAGGAGCCUACAUUUUUGUAUUGGAUUGAGUAAUGGAUAUAUAAUGAAAACCACAAUGCACCAUUCUAUUUUACCUCUCCAUCAAGGUUUAGAUAGAUAAAUGUAGCAGGUGCAUAUUUGUGAAGCUGGUUAAUAUCUCUUUUGAGAGGCUUUGUGGCAUGUGGGAAUAGUUUAUUCCGAACUCAAGGUGAUAAAAAUAUGGUUAAGGAAUGCACUGGUACAUGGUAUCUGAAUUCGGCAACUAUACUGGGGAAUGGAUUUAUUAGAG